rnacentral:rRNA from 1 species
UGGUAUGCACUGGCUUUGCUGAUUCCUCCUUCUUGUAGAACCGUAAUGCCAUUAAGUUGGUGUUGCGGGGAAACAGGACUGUUACUUUGAAAAAAUUAGAGUGUUUAAAGCAGGCUAACGCUUGAAUACAUUAGCAUGGAAUAAUGAAAUAGGACGACGAUCCUAUUUUGUUGGUUUCUAGGAUUGACGUAAUGAUUAAUAGGGAUAGUUGGGGGCAUUAGUAUUCAAUUGUCAGAGGUGAAAUUCUUGGAUUUAUUGAAGACUAACUACUGCGAAAGCAUUUGCCAAGGAUGUUUUCAUUAAUCAAGAACGAAAGUUAGGGGAUCGAAGACGAUCAGAUACCGUCGUAGUCUUAACCAUAAACUAUGCCGACUAGGGAUCGGAUGAUGUUAAUUUUAUAAUGACUCAUUCGGCGCCUUACG